CGGUGAGAAGGUGGAAGGGGCAGUGAUAUUUCAGAGGGGAGAAAGCAACUGUUUCUCUUGGCCUGGGGCAAGGCUCAUCAGGACUGUGGCGACAGCGCCUGCCCAGCAAGAACUGGGGUAUUUUGGGGAAAGUUUGGUCGGGAGUUUUUGCUGAUAUUAACUUUUUGUGUCUUUCUUUUUAUGUGGAAAUUGUUCAGUUGGGUUAUGUGGCUUUCAAUGAGUUUUAUUCAUUUUUAUGACUACUUUGCUAUAUUUGCAUUUAUGUAAGUCUUUUCAUAUUGUAAGCUGCCUUGAGCAUUGUUUUAACUGUGGGAAGAUGGCAUACCCAAAAAGUAAAGAAAAGAAGGGAUGGCGAAGAUAAGCUUUUCCAAGGGUGUAGGAAGGGGAGGGCGGGGGGCGGGCCACCCCAGGGGUCAUCCUGGGGGGGGUGACAAAAUCCCCCCGGGCAUGAUCGCCCCGCCCCCAGGUGCACGGCAUGUGCGCUGCUCCGGGUGCUCCAGCGCUGAGCUUUGCAAAAGACGACUCCUGGCUGGUAAUUCAGCAAUAUUUUCCCUUGAGACGACUCAGUGGCCCAGCUGACUACCAUAGCUGGGAUCAGCGAGGGCUAGUGACAGCCCUAAGGGAUGCGGGUGGUUGUGGUCUAAACCACUGAGCCUCUUGGGCUUGCCGAUCGGAAGGUUGGUGGUUCGAAUCCCCACGAUGGGGAGAGCUCCCAUUACUCUGUCCCAGCUUCUGCCAGCCUAGCAGUUCAAAAACACACCGGUGCAAGUAGAUAAAUAGGUACCACUGUGGCAGGAAGGUAAAUGGUGUUUCCGUGUGCUCUAGUUUCCAUCACAGUGUUCCAUAGCACCAGAAGCGGUUUAGUACUGCUGGCCACAUGACCCUGAAAGCUGUCUGUGGACAAACGCCAGUUCCCCCGGCCUGAAAGCAAGAAGAGUGCCACAACUCCAUAGUCAUUGUUGGGAUCCAGGGAUCCUUUACUUUUUGAACCUUUUUUACCUUUAGUGACAAUCCUGUGGCCCAUAUCUGUGGGUCAUCACAGGACAUGUUUGCUUCACAGGUGUUGUUUGAUGUUUUUGGGUGUGGCAGCCAGUGACAUGAAUGAUGUGGGCUGAUCGUGGGGGAGGGGGGAAAGGGGGCACUGACCACCUAUUUUAGCAAGCAUUUCAACCAUGUGGCCUCUGAUUCUAAGGAUGGUGGAUCCAUCUGUUUUUAGCUCUCCCAGUUUCUCAUUUCCCCAGUGUUAAGUUCAGUCCUCUACAUUUCCGCAUCAUCUGUGGGCUGCUGCUGCUGUUGUUUAGUCGUUUAGUCGUGUCCGACUCUUCGUGACCCCCUGGACCAGAGCACGCCAGGCACUCCUGUCCUCCACUGCCUCCCACAGUUUGGUCAAACUCAUGCCUGUAGCUUCGAGAACACUGUCCAGCCAUCUCGUCCUCCGUCGUCCCCUUCUCCUUGUGCCCUCUAUCUUUCCCAACAUCAGGGUCUUUUCCAGAGAGUCUUCUCUUCUCAUGAGGUGGCCAAAGUCUUGGAGCCUCAGCUUCAGGACCUGUCCUUCCAGUGAGCACUCAGGGCUGAUUUCCUUCAGAAUGGAGAGGUUUGAUCUUCUUGCAGUCCAUGGGACUCUCAAGAGUCUCCUCCAGGACCAGAAUUCAAAAGCAUCCAUUCUUCGGCGAUCAGCCUUCUUUAUGGUCCAGCUCUCACUUCCAUACAUCACUACUGGGAAAACCAGAGCUUUAACUAUACUGUGGGCUGCUAGUCCUCAUGAAAAUGUACACAUGUAUUUAAAUUGUAUACCACCCUAUAACCGCAGGUCUCAGGGUAGUCGCAACAUAAAAUCACAAUAUAAAAACACAAAAUACAUUUUAAAAAAACAAAACACUAGCAUUUUAGUGCAGAUUUCUAGCAGACACAUUUUGGUAUGCAAUUUCCCCUAAUAUUUUGGUAUGUUACUUUUUCACUAGCAUAUGCAUUUUUUACCACACACUUGAUUUAUUUUUAUUAUUCAUAGUUAUAUCCCACCUUUCACACCCAAGGAACUCAAAGUGUCGUUCUUCUGCCUCUCUCCAUAUUUAUCCUCACACCAGCCCUGUGGGGUAGGCUAGGCUGAAAGAAGACCACCCAGUGGGCUUCAUAGCUGAGUGGGAUUUGAAUCCUGUUCGCCCAGUUCCUAGUCCAGCACUCUAACCACUGCACCACAGUUCCCCAAGUAUAUGCAUUUUUGUGCACAUUACUCAGCUACAGGACUGUGCUGCAAAAUUCAGAAAAGGGCGGAUUUCAAAGGGCGUCUGUCUUUCAGUUUGCAUUUUAUUUCAGGAAGGGUGAAUGAGGCAGGUUGAUCUUUAAAUGUGAACUGACUUGAAUUUAUCCCCGCAUUCCCACCUCUUGAUUCCAGUUGCUGGAAACCACCAGAGGGGAGAGUUGUGUUCGAAUCCUGCUUGCGGGUUUCGCUUUGGGGCAAGUGGUCGGUCAGUUUGAGAAGAGGAUGUUGGGCUCAGUGGGCCACUGGCCUGAUUCAGCAGCCAGGCUCUCCUGACGAGUCCCUUCCAUGUCUCUGUUUUUACAAUUCUCAGUUCCUCAUCUGUAAAAUAGGAAACUUAAUGAAACUUGUCAAGGAGUUGCGUUCUGAGGGUGUCGGAGAGGAGGUUGGCAAAUCGCUUUUGUGCAGGCUGAAAAUUCUGCGGAAGCAACACAUGAUUAAUGGUGAUGAUGAAAGUAGUUACAGAAGUUUGAAAACAAAGAAUUAAGCUUCCUUCUUUCUUUCUAUUUUGCCUCUCAGUGGGUGCCAGAGUCAAGAUGCUGGCAAAUUGCCUUCCCAGGUUUCUGGCAUCAUUUAGAGAAAAGGUUAAAAAGGCAUUCAAGGAUUUCAUACUCCCUGUGAAACUGCAAACCUGAAAGGGGGGGGCAGCAAAUAUAUGGGGACCAUCAGGGCCAACCCAAGACAGUUGGGCACCGGAGGUGAACCGCAAAAUGUCUCUCCCUGCCAGGGAAUCGUAGAAUUGGAAGGGACCCUGAGGGUUAUCUAGGCCACCCCCCUGCAAUGCAGGAAUCUCAGCUAAAGAACCCAGGACAGAUGGCCAUGCAACCUCUGCUUAACAACCUCCAAGGAAGGAGAGUCCAUCACCUCCCGAGGGAAUCUGUCCCACUGUCAAACAGCUUUUUAAAUGCUUAAUGUUUAUUAUGUUUUUAUAUACAGUCAUACCUUGGAAGUCAAACGGAAUUUAUUCCGGAAGUCUGUUCGACUUCCAAAACCUUUGGAAACCAAAGCACAGCUUCUGAUUGGCUGCAUGAAGCUCCUGCAGCCAAUCGGAAGCUGCAGAAGUCCCACCAGACAUUCAGUUACUUCCAGGUUUCAAUUGUUUGAGAGUCGAUUUGUUCGGGAGCCACAGCAUUCGAGAUCCAAGGUACGACUGUACAGUGGCAUCUCUAGUUGCGAACGGGAUCCGUUCCGGAGGUCCAUUCGCAACGUGAAAAGCCCGCAACCUGAAGCGAUGUAUCUGCACAGGUGCGCGCCGCGAUUUGGUGCUUGUGCACAUGCGCGAAGCACGAUUUGGCGCUACUGCACAUGUGUGAGCGGUGAAAACCGGAAGUAACCCUUUCCCUUACUUCCGGGUCGCCGCAGGACGCAACCUGAAAAAACAUAACAGGAAGCAAACGUAACAUGAGGUAUGACUGUAUGUUGUACAACCCAGUCAGAUGGGCAGAGUAUUAAGAACAACAACAACAACUGAAUAGGCUGUCCCUAUUUUAAUUGUAGAAACGUUUGAGGGUAUGCACUUUUGAGAGCUGUUGGGAACCUUGACGAUCGGGCUGACAGCUUGCUGCCGCUGCUUUCCUGCUGCGGAAUAACAUUUCCAGUGCUAACCGACGGCUUCGCUCACUUGCAAGUGCCUUUUAAAAAAGGUGCCGGCAGCAGGGAACCUUUCUGGUAGUGAUCAGCGCUGAAUUUUAGUGGCAUUUUGCCGUGGCCUUUCCGUGACCCCGAACACGUGGCUCUCCGUGUACCCGGCUCACAGACAAGCUCUUGCACGGAGGCAGCAUCUAAAUCUGAUGUUUGAGGGAUGGAGAGAGCGAUCCGUCAGGUGAGAAGAGCUUCCCCCCUCUGUCUGCAGGGGAAGGGGCUUUCCUCCCUGGAGUGGGGGGCUCCUGCAUGGAUUGAAUGCGCACAAUCCCACAUUAUGGAUCUGUUGCAUAGAUCCAUAAUGUGGGGAGACUUGUGCAUUGUGCAUCAUCAAUCCAUGCAGGAGCCUCCCCACAUUAUGGAUCUUUUUAAAUAUCUAUAUAUACAUUUUUAUUGAUUUUUUAACAUAUCAGUUCCAACAGUCAUACAACUUAUCUUCACAUCUUAUACAAUAUUUUUGACUUCCGUCAACACCUCUGAUGAUUUUCCAUUCUUUAUCACUUAUUCUGCAUUACUUAAUUUCCUAUUACAUUUCAUUGUCCUUAACUAAUAAUUCUCUUCAUAGUCUUUCUUGCAGUAUUUCAAAUAAUCCACCUUACAAAACUUUUUGCAAUGCUGCUAGCGUAAUCUGUUCGUCACAAUUACUUUUCAGAUGAUUCAUAUAUUUACUCCAGUCUUCUAAGAAUCUCUGAUUCCGCAGGUCUCAAAUCCUUCCUGUCAAUUUAUCCAGUUCUGCAUAGUCCAUCAACUUCACCCUCCGUUCUUCUUUUGUCGGCAGUUCGUCUUGCUUCCAUUUUUGUGCCAUUAAUGUUCCCCACAUUGUGGAUCUGUUGCAACAUGCAAUACACUUGCUCAAGGAAAGGUUGCAGCAUUCGAGACUUCUCAGGUUAGAGAAAAGGCGAGUAACAGGCCACAUGAUAGAAGGGAAUAAAAUGUGUGGCCUAGAGAGAGAGGCUGGAGAGAAGUUUCUCUCGCAGCAGUAGAACUCAUGAACAUCCCGUGCACCUGCAUUUUGGAAGACUCAGGGCAGAUAAAAGAAAGCAAAUGGUUAAACUAUGGAACUCCCUGCCACAGGAGGAAGUAAUUGACACUGACCCCUGAUCGGCGGCACCCUCCGGGACGCACGCCACGCCCUCUGGGACGAGCGCCGCUCCGGGUACUGGAGCAGGUUGCUUCGCCUCUGAAGAGGCCGCAAUGUUUCUGAACACCAGUUGCUGGAAACCACAGGAGGGGAGAGGGUCUUGUGUUUGAAUCCUGCUUGCCGUUUUCUCGCAGGCAUUUGGUUGGCCCCUGUGAGAUGCUUAAAAUGCCACCGACUGCUUAAGGACAUUUUAAGCCACAUUAGACACUUGGAACAGGGAGGCAAUAGCAGAACAACCCCGGACUUCCCCAAGAGUUUGUUCCAGAUGAGUCCAGCCCCACUCUCUAGGCACUGCCCCAGGGGUCCUUUUGUAGCUGGGUGUGUGAGGGCCUGGCCCAGUUGGAAAAGGCCUUGGAAGGGAGCAGGCCCUGCAGUCCUCACCACAGCCGAUGGUACGCAGAUAUUGUUGCAUGCUUCGCCAUUUCUCCACGCGAUAGGAAUUUGCAAGGGUGGCGUUAGGUUCCCUUUGGCUGAGAGGACACAGAAGGCUUUUGAGCACAAGAAGAGCCUUUGCUAGAUCAGGCCAAUGGCCCAUCGAGUCCAGCAUCCUGUUCUCACAGUGGCUCGACCAGAUGACUCAGGGGGGGAACCUGCAAGCAGAAUUCGAACCCAAGAGCAACUCUUCUUCUGAAUACCAGUUGCUGGAAACCACAGGAGGGGAGAGUUGCUCUUGUUGUUCGAAUCCUGCUUGCGGUUUUCUCACAGGCAUUUGGUCAGCCACUGUGAGGACAGGAUGCUGGACUAGGUAGGCCAUUGGCCUGAUCCAGCGAGCUCUUCCUAUGUUCUUAAAAGAGGCACAUCAUUGGAGCUUGCCUUUGAAGACACGUGCUGAAAUGAAAGCAAUCUGUCCCUACCCCCACCGCCCACCCCCAAACUAAUAGAGAAGCGGCUCGCUCCCUGCCAUACUGUAAAUUUGUAGUGGAUGCAAAACACUGUCUGUUUUCUCCUGUCAAACCUUGAAGGGUGUGAAUGAUGGAGCUGUCGAGGAGGAAGGUGUGAUCUCGGUUUGGAAUGACAGAAGGCAUGAUGUUGAGGAAUGAAAGUGGGCCAGAGAACGCCAUAUUAGCGCACUGGUGCAUGCUGUCAUUCAGAGCCAGUGGCCCUACCACAGGAUGCAGAGAGGAGAACCAAGAUUCUUGCAGAGAGCUAGAAGUGUAGAUGACUUUCACUGA